AGCGAACGCUGGCGGCAGGCUUAACACAUGCAAGUCGAACGGGCACUUCGGUGUCAGUGGCAGACGGGUGAGUAACGCGUGGGAACAUACCUCUUGGUUCGGAACAACACAGGGAAACUUGUGCUAAUACCGGAUAAGCCCUUACGGGGAAAGAUUUAUCGCCGAGAGAUUGGCCCGCGUCUGAUUAGCUAGUUGGUGUGGUAAAAGCGCACCAAGGCGACGAUCAGUAGCUGGCUGAGAGGAUGAUCAGCCACAUUGGGACUGAGACACGGCCCAAACUCCUACGGGAGGCAGCAGUGGGGAAUAUUGGACAAUGGGGGAAACCCUGAUCCAGCCAUGCCGCGUGAGUGAUGAAGGCCUUC
rnacentral:rRNA from 1 species